AUGAGGAGUGGGGCUGUCAAGGAUUCUAGCCGUUGCCAUUGCAUCUUGAGUCCAACGUGUCCGACGUGCCUCAUGCUCUUCCCACCGCCUGCCAAUCAUCUCAAAUUGCAUGGUGGCUUGAGGAGGUGGGUAAAUAGAAUCAAGGGCAAAAGGGCGCUUCUAAAGUUCUUUUUGGUAUGUCAUCCUCAGGAUGCGAAUCCACGUCUCUGGGGUCGAAAAGGUCACAAACAGAAAACCUGCUGCACUUCUGAGUCUUCACAGAUUUCAGUGAUUUGGUCCAAAUCCAGAAACCAUCUUGAGACAAUAAAAAGGCUGCUGAAUGGGAACCAAGCAGGACGGCUCAACUCUCACCGAGGGAAACUGAGGCCUGCAAGGGAGCUGCUAUGCAUAGUGAUUAGGAUCUCGGAGCCUCGGUUUCUUCAUGUGCAACACGUGGAUGUCAAUCACUACCUCAUGGUGAUGUUAGAUGGAAUAAAUUCAACAAUGAUUGCAAAGCCCUCAGCAAAGUUGCUGGCAUAUAUUGAGGGCUAACACAGCAAUCAUUAACAGGAGAAAAGUCGUCUGUUACAGGAUGAACAAAAUCUUCUGUAAAGCAUGAGAUUGAGAAAUAGAAUAAUCUGUGGGUUGACUUGGACAGUAGUGGACUCUGGUGUCCUGACUGAAUGACUGAAUGAGGUGGCCUUUGAAAGGAGAGAAAAUGGACGUCUUGUCUUCUCUGAGCUUCUGCCAACACUGAAAAGGCUGAGGAACGGUUUCAUGGUGUAUCAGGGUUCCGUUUUUAAAACUGGUUGCACACAUCCCUCAUUUGAGGGUCCUGUUGGGUAGUUUAGGAGAGAAAAUGAAUGUCUAUGUUCUUGAAGGCCAAUUUGGGAGUGCAAAUGUUGGAUUUGGGAUCUCAUUGGAAAGUCUGUGUUAUUUAAAUUUCUAAAGCGAGCCCUCUCAUGUGACCUCAAGCUAAUGCGUGGGUCUGCUGGAAUAACAGCUUUGAGUAAUUUCUUCCAGCAGUGCCUACUAAGUAACCCGGGAUAAAAGUAUUGUUUUCCCAUGAAUGGUGGAAUUGUCAGGAAGGUAACAAAUUGCCCCAGACUUUUGUUGGUGCAACGGAAUUCAAGCUUCUUUCAAUUUUUUUGGACUUCCAAAAAAAAAUCUUUGAGAGACUACUGUGUGGCAAUACUGCGUGCUGGCCAGAGAGUCUAUAGAUGACAACACAGUGUCCCAGAAUCUUGCCUUAUUUUUCUUUUCCCUCCACCCCCACCCGCCAUCUCUCACCAGACAGAAUAGGUGAAGAGGUUGAGUUGUAGAUCUCAUUUCUCCUGUUUUGCUGCUUGUGAAGUCUGCCAACAGAAUCCACCUUGACAAAGUCAAGGACUGUGCGUUUAAUGUUGAACUGAGUGAAUAAAUUAUGCAUGAAAUUGUGCCGGAGUCUCUAG
rnacentral:lncRNA from 1 species